UACGUAGGGGGCUAGCGUUGUCCGGAAUCAUUGGGCGUAAAGCGCGUGUAGGCGGUCCGGUAAGUCCGCUGUGAAAGUCGGGGGCUCAACCCUCGGAUGCCGGUGGAUACUGUCGGGCUUGAGUACGGAAGAGGCGAGUGGAAUUCCUGGUGUAGCGGUGAAAUACGCAGAUAUCAGGAGGAACACCAAUUGCGAAGGCAGCUCGCUGGGACGUUACUGACGCUGAGACGCGAAAGCGUGGGGAGCAAACAGG
rnacentral:rRNA from 1 species